rnacentral:rRNA from 1 species
GACGAACGCUGGCGGCGUGCUUAACACAUGCAAGUCGAACGGAAAGGCCUUUUCGGAGGUACUCGAGUGGCGAACGGGUGAGUAACACGUGGGUGAUCUGCCCUGCACUCUGGGAUAAGCCUGGGAAACUGGGUCUAAUACCGGAUAGGACCGCACUUUAGUGUGUGUGGUGGAAAGUUUUUUCGGUGUAGGAUGAGCCCGCGGCCUAUCAGCUUGUUGGUGGGGUAAUGGCCUACCAAGGCGGCGACGGGUAGCCGGACUGAGAGGUUGGUCGGCCACAUUGGGACUGAGAUACGGCCCAGACUCCUACGGGAGGCAGCAGUGGGGAAUAUUGCACAAUGGGCGCAAGCCUGAUGCAGCGACGCCGCGUGGGGGAUGACGGCCUUCGGGUUGUAAACUCCUUUCGCCAGGGACGAAGCGUUUUGCGACGGUACCUGGAGAAGAAGCACCGGCUAACUACGUG